CACCUUGUCUUUUGAUGAUAGUCAUCUGAUCCCACUAAACAAAAGCAUAGUCUAUGAACUCGACUACUCAUAGCUUCACUGUAAUUAUGGCAAUCAAAGAUUAGUUCUACCUUCUGCUUUCACUUGAGGUAGGUCUUAGCAUUCUUCCUUCAUCUAAACGAGGGAGUUUGCAUCUUGAUGGAUCUGAUAUCAUCAUCUUUCCUC
rnacentral:lncRNA from 1 species